GGUGAUUUAACUAAGCAGUAGAGUGCUUGCCUAGCAUGCAUGAGGCCCUGGGUUCAAUUCUCAGCACUG
rnacentral:tRNA from 1 species